rnacentral:tRNA from 1 species
AGCUCAGUUGGUUAGAGCGCCUGAUUGUGGUUCAGGAGGUCGCCGGUUCGAACCCGGUCU